rnacentral:tRNA from 1 species
AGCUCAGUGGUAGAGUGCUUGCCUUGUAUGCAUGAGACCCUGGGUUCAAUUCCUCAG